rnacentral:rRNA from 1 species
UAGGGAAUCUUCCACAAUGGACGCAAGUCUGAUGGAGCAACGCCGCGUGAGUGAAGAAGGUUUUCGGACCGUAAAGCUCUGUUGUUGGUGAAGAAGGAUAGAGGUAGUAACUGGCCUUUAUUUGACGGUAAUCAACCAGAAAGUCACGGCUAACUACGUGCCAGCAGCCGCGGUAAUACGUAGGUGGCAAGCGUUGUCCGGAUUUAUUGGGCGUAAAGCGAGCGCAGGCGGAAGAAUAAGUCUGAUGUGAAAGCCCUCGGCUUAACCGAGGAAUUGCAUCGGAAACUGUUUUUCUUGAGUGCAGAAGAGGAGAGUAGAACUCCAUGUGUAGCGGUGGAAUGCGUAGAUAUAUGGAAGAAUACCAGUGGCGAAGGCGGCUCUCUGGUCUGCAACUGACGCUGAGGCUCGAAAGCAUGGGUAGCGAACAGGAUUAGAUACCCUGGUAGUCCAUGCCGUAAACGAUGAGUGCUAAGUGUUGGGAGGCUUCCGCCUCUCAGUGCUGCAGCUAACGCAUUAAGCACUCCGCCUGGGGGGUACGACCGCAAGGUUGAAAC